rnacentral:tRNA from 1 species
CGGGGUGUAGCGCAGUCUGGCUAGCGCGCUUCGUUCGGGACGAAGAGGUCGAAGGUUCGAAUCCUUUCACCCCGA